rnacentral:misc_RNA from 1 species
CCGAGUUUACAACUCCCAAACCCCUGUGAACAUACCACUUGUUGCCUCGGCGGAUCAGCCCGCUCCCGGUAAAACGGGACCGGCCCGCCAGAGGACCCCUAAACUCUGUUUCUAUAUGUAACUUCUGAGUAAAACCAUAAAUAAAUCAA